GAUGAACGCUGGCGGCGUGCCUAAUACAUGCAAGUCGAGCGAAUGGAUUAAGAGCUUGCUCUUAUGAAGUUAGCGGCGGACGGGUGAGUAACACGUGGGUAACCUGCCCAGAAGACGGGGAUGACUCCGGGAAACCGGGGCGAAUACCGGAUAACAUUUUGAACAGCAUGGUUCGAAAUUGAAAGGCGGCUUCGGCUGUCACUUAUGGAUGGACCCGAGUCGCAUUAGCUAAUUGGUGAGGUAACGGCUCACCAAGGCAACGAUGCGUAGCCGACCUGAGAGGGUGAUCAGCCACACUGGGACUGAGACACGCCCCAGACUCCUACGGGAGGCAGCAGUAGGGAAUCUUCCGCAAUGGACGAAAGUCUGACGGAGCAACGCCGCGUGAGUGAUGAAGGCUUUCGGGUCGUAAAACUCUGUUGUUAGGGAAGAACAAGUGCUAGUUGAAUAAGCUGGCACCUUGACGGUACCUAACCAGAAAGCCACGGCUAACUACGUGCCAGCCGCCGCAGUAA
rnacentral:rRNA from 1 species